GACGAACGCUGGCGGCGUGCUUAACACAUGCAAGUCGAGCGGUAAGGCCCUUUCGGGGGUACACGAGCGGCGAACGGGUGAGUAACACGUGGGUGACCUGCCCUCAGCUCUGGGAUAAGCCUGGGAAACCGGGUCUAAUACUGGAUAUGACUCCAUGACGCAUGUUGUGGGGUGGAAAGCCUUGUGCGGCUGAGGAUGGGCCCGCGGCCUAUCAGCUUGUUGGUGGGGUGAUGGCCUACCAAGGCGACGACGGGUAGCCGGCCUGAGAGGGCGACCGGCCACACUGGGACUGAGACACGGCCCAGACUCCUACGGGAGGCAGCAGUGGGGAAUCUUGCGCAAUGGGCGAAAGCCUGACGCAGCGACGCC
rnacentral:rRNA from 1 species